GGGCUUUUAGCUCAGUUGGUUAGAGCAACAGACUCAUAAUCUGGAGGUCCUUGGUUCAAGCCCAAGAUGGCCCACCU
rnacentral:tRNA from 1 species